CUGAGGAUAAUACUGGAUAGGCAAUUAUUCCUGUAAUGGUUUUUUGUUUAAAUGUUUUUUCGCCUAAGGAUGGGUCUGCGGCCGAUUAGGUAGUUGGUUAGGUAAUGGCUUACCAAGCCUUUGAUCGGUACGGGUUGUGAGAGCAAGAGCCCGGAGAUGGAACCUGAGACAAGGUUCCAGGCCCUACGGGGUGCAGCAGGCGCGAAACCUCCGCAAUGUGAGAAAUCGCGACGGGGGGAUCCCAAGUGCCAUUCUUAACGGGAUGGCUUUUCUUUAGUGUAAAAAGCUUUUGGAAUAAGAGCUGGGCAAGACCGGUGCCAGCCGCCGCGGUAACACCGGCAGCUCUAGUGGUAGCAAUUUUUAUUGGGCCUAAAGCGUCCGUAGCCGGUUUAAUAAGUCUCUGGUGAAAUCCUGUAGCUUAACUGUGGGAAUUGCUGGAGAUACUAUUAGACUUGAGACCGGGAGAGGUUAGAGGUACUCCCAGGGUAGAGGUGAAAUUCUGUAAUCCUGGGAGGACCGCCUGUUGCGAAGGCGUCUAACUGGAACGGUUCUGACGGUGAGGGACGAAAGUUAGGGGCGCGAACCGGAUUAGAUACCCGGGUAGUCCUAACUGUAAACGAUGCGGACUUGGUGUUGGGGUGGCUUUGAGCUGCUUCAGUGCCGAAGGGAAGCUGUUAAGUCCGCCGCCUGGGAAGUACGGUCGCAAGACUGAAACUUAAAGGAAUUGGCGGGGGAGCA
rnacentral:rRNA from 1 species